UGAUUAUGCUCUGAUUAACUUUGAACUAAUAUUUUAUUUUUACCAUUUAAAAGUCUGUUAAUUACUUAACCUGGCCCAUGUAUGACUUUACAUAUCUGUGUAUUGGUUUCAUGUUCCUCUAGAAGGUCCAACUUGACACACAACUUGAAUCCAACCAGACUGAACACUGACUCCAGGGACAGACGAGCCUGAAGGACACAGCUGUGAUGACCAUGUUCUGUCUCUUAUGGCAAAGCAGAAAUAUAAAACACUGGGUUCUUAUCUAAAGUGUAUCAAAUCAGAUCUCCACCAUGUUGCUGCUGAGGACAUCAGUUGUCUUCCAGUUGACCAGCAUGAAGCUGCAGAUCUCCACCAUGUUGCUGCUGGGGACAUCAGGAGCUGCAUUAAUGAGGAGCAGAAGCGUACUGUUAUGAAUGUUUUGUGUUGUUUAUGAAGCACUACUUAUUUCAGCUAGAACCGAUGUACUAGGGUCUGGGUUUGUAUCCUAAUGGUUAAAUGCACAUACUUUAAAUCGCUUUUGAUAAAACGUGACAAAGAAAUACAACAUUGUACACAUAGAUAAAAUGUCUUUCUACCUCAUCUGUAAUAUUCAAGGUGAUGAUCUCCCACAGAGCUGUUGAUAACA